rnacentral:rRNA from 1 species
AUGAACGCUAGCGACAGGCCUAACACAUGCAAGUCGAGGGGCAGCACAAAGAGCAAUCUGAGGUGGCGACCGGCGCACGGGUGAGUAACACGUAUGCAACCUGCCUGUAAGCGGGGAAUAACCCGUUGAAAGACGGACUAAUACCGCAUAAUACUAAAUUACUGCAUGGUAAUUUAUUUAAACAUUUAUGGCUUACAGAUGGGCAUGCGCAUGAUUAGCUAGUUGGAGAGGUAACGGCUCCCCAAGGCAACGAUCAUUAGGGGUUCUGAGAGGAAGGUCCCCCACACUGGUACUGAGACACGGACCAGACUCCUACGGGAGGCAGCAGUGAGGAAUAUUGGUCAAUGGACGAGAGUCUGAACCAGCCAAGUCGCGUGCAGGAAGAAUGUCCCUAUGGAUUGUAAACUGCUUUUGCAGGGGAAUAAAGUGCAUCACGUGUGAUGUUUUGUAUGUACUCUGCGAAUAAGGAUCGGCUAACUCCGUGCCAGCCGCUGC